rnacentral:rRNA from 1 species
GACGAACGCUGGCGGCGUGCUUAACACAUGCAAGUCGAACGGAAAGGCCCUGCUUUUGUUGGGUGCUCGAGUGGCGAACGGGUGAGUAACACGUGAGUAACCUGCCCUUGACUUUGGGAUAACUUCAGGAAACUGGGGCUAAUAUCGGAUAGGAGCUCCUGCUGCAUGGGGUUGGUUGGAAAGUGUCGGCGUUUGGGGAUGGACUCGCGGCUUAUCAGCUGCUUGGUGGAGUAGUUGCGUACCAAGGCUUUGACGGGUAGCCGGCCUGGGAGGGUUACCGGCCACAUUGGGACUGAGAUACGGCCCAGAAUGCUACGGUAGGCAGCAGUGGAGAAUAUUGCACAAUGGGCGGAAGCCUGAUGCAGAAACGCCGCGUGCGGGAUGACCGCCUUCGGGUUGUAAACCGCUUUCGACUGUGACGAAGAAUGAGUGACGGUAAUGGGUAAAGAAGCACCGGCUAACUACGUG